AGCCAUUGUGCUUAUUGGUGUUCUGCAAUUUUAUUGAAUUUAUGUUUCUGGGUUGCAUCAUUCUUUGGGUGUGCCUCAAAUCUAUUCCAUGUUCCGUAGAACAUUAUCUAGCUAGCUAUCUAACUGUGGAUAUAGUGGAUCCUAGUAAAGUAACUGGGGAUCCAUCCAUCUUUACAAUGCACCAAAUUUGUAGCGCUAGCUAUCUAGCUAGGGUGCAAACAGCUACCUAAACCGAUCCAGUGUAUCAGAGUGCAGUGCCAAUAAAAUCAAAAGAAAAAAAGAAGUCGGCCGAAACGCCAACAAUUCAACAUUCCUGCAAAAUGCCUAUACAGCCACGGGUUCAACCGAGGUUGCUGUGACACAAGCAACAGACCUGAAUCACAUGGAAUCAGAGUGCUCAGACUACAGUAUUGGAGAAUUUAUUGGAUGAUUUCCUGACUAUGGUGCAAUAUUUUGCCUCCUUCCAUAUGCCAGUUAACACCAUCUAGCUAGGGUUGACCUCAGCUUGAGGUGAAACAACAGUCAUUACCCUGAGGGGGUAUGAUUCUUUGCCAACCAUAGAGAGAGAGAGAUAAGAUCAGAAAACAAAAACAGAGGUGAGUGCUGAAACGUGGGGAGUGGAGUGCGUCACCCUGCAGUGAGUCAUCAGAAAGGCAGAGGUUAUCUUCUAAUCAAUGCUGCUCCACGAGGGUCAACCUGUCCACACAACUGCGUAUGUGCCAGGGAUAAAACCACCUCAUUUAAACCUGGACUGAGGGACAACGGCCUCAACUGAGGCCAGGGGACCUCUUCAGUUCAAGCAAAGAGACCGCACUGAAAUAAUAUAUACAUAGUGUUCGAUGUCAUAUGGCACUCAGAAUAUCUGAAAUCUUACAGACUAUGACAGACACUUCUGCUUAUUUGAAUAUGUAUUAUGCACAAUAAAACCAAAUCUAUUACUUAUAUAUAUAUAUAUAUAUAAUAUAAAUCAUGUUACCGCCAACUUAGAGUUUAGAAAUGUAGAUGAAUAUAAUUGUUACAUCCUGUUCUAACAACUUAUUGUAAACAUUGUUUUGUUUUUUGUUUUUUUCCCUGUUACCUGACAGCACAUUAUUUGACAGGAAUGCGUUAUUAAGAAGGUUCCACGUCAGGCACCGAUUAUAUUGGCCUUCUUGAACUCAGUUAAAUGCUUUAUGAAUUGAAAACAGAUAUAUAUUAAAGUGGUGAAAUAAACUGCUAAUUGACUCUAAACUCA